ensembl:lncRNA
CUUCAUUUGUUAUAUUAAUGAAAAGCCACUUUAAAUCAAGUUUCCUGUUGAUAUUUCAUUAUGUAUGCUGUUCUUACACAUCUCUAAAGGAGAUUUACGUUACAGGUAGUAACCACAAAUACCGGCCAUGGACAUGCUGUUAAUUUAAAAUGUAAAGUUUUCUUUUGAGGCGCAGCAGACAUAUAGGGUCUCUCUCUUCGCCAGGGCCGCUCACUUCCCUGUGAAAAUGACCCACAGCUGUCGCCCCAUCCGGAGGCCCAACCUACAGGCAGGGAUCUGACGUUCACACCCAGGUUCACGGAAGACAGAGCUCAGCACGGGGCCAGAGCAUAAUGUGCAGGGACUGGCCCCGCUCCCGACAACAUGGGCAGCCUUGACGGUGGCGCUGGCCUUGCCCUCGGCUGUCGCUGAACGUUUCCAGGUGCCAGCACUGCACCAGGCAGGUCAGCCCUAUGCCACCAGAUGGAGCCCACCCCACCUCGCCAAGAUGUAGAUGGUCCACCCCGACCCCGUAUGGCGGAGGAGAAAGCCGACACGCAGGGCUAAUGGACUGUGGAGUUAAGAUCUGAAGCCAGGCCCGGGGCCCCUGACCACCGUGUCCAACCGAGAGAAGCUCUGCUGGAGACAGGCUUCUAGCCCCUGUGUUGUUGGGGUGUUGCGAGGUAAACCUGGCUUAGUAGCUGAAGAAGACGGCGAUCAGCAUGGUCCCGUGCACGGAGGGUCAGCGCUGGGCACUGACUUUGAGCCGGCAGAGGGUGAGGGAGGCAACAGCUGGGAUGACUGGGGCACAACCAGUGGUCUGGCCACGCUUCCUCUGGUGGCCUUCAGGGCCUUACAAACACCGACAGACGUUACCUCCAGGACCCUCACGAGGACCCUCUGCGUCAAGCUGUCAUCGUCACUCCUGUUUUACAGAACACACUCCUGCUAGACCAGGGGCUCAUCUCUGCCCCGUGUCACCGGCCAGGGCCACCCCAGCAGGCACUCAGUCCUGCCCUGUUCACCGGACCUUGACUCUGGGUCCCCGUGGGUUUUCCCUGGUUCUGAUUCACGGGCAUCAGGAGAAGGAGAGAGUGACGGCCUACUGAGCUCCUGCCGUUCCAGCCACAAG